AACGAACGCUGGCGGCGCGCCUAACACAUGCAAGUCGAACGAGAAACUCUUCGGAGUAGUAAAGUGGCGAACGGGUGAGGAAUACAUGGGUAACCUGCCCUUGAGGAUGGAAUAACCUACCGAAAGGUGGGCUAAUACCGUAUACGCUUCCUUGUUUAUGGAUGAGGAAGGAAAGCCGUGUCGAGGAUGCGGCGCUCAAGGAGGGGCUCAUGGCCUAUCAGCUUGUUGGUGGGUAACGGCCUACCAAGGCAACGACGGGUAGCUGGUCUGAGAGGAUGAUCAGCCACACUGGCACUGAGACACGGGCCAGACUCCUACGGGAGGCAGCAGUGAGGAAUAUUGCGCAAUGGGCGAAAGCCUGACGCAGCGACGCCGCGUGGGGGAUGAAGGUUUUCGGAUUGUAAACCCCUUUCAGGAGGAAAGAGAAGGUGGGUUACCACCUAGACGGUACCUCCAGAAGAAGCCACGGCUAACUUCGUG
rnacentral:rRNA from 1 species